CAAUGAGGAUGUUUAAUACAUAGAUUCUGAUCAUUUGUUCUAUAUUUAGCUCUGUUCUGGGCAGUGAGGAAUUUAGAUGAACCACAGGGUUUGCCCUGAAGAGGUUUAUAGCUCAGGGAGGAGACAGACAAAGGGACAGUUGUGAUACAAUGUGAUGAGCGCCAUGAUGAAGCAGGUACAAGAUCUACGUGGGUGGGAGUGGAGCAAGGUUGCUAGAGAGCACUACCCUUCAACAGAGUUUUGGACAUGAUGAGUUAUAGUAGANGAUACAAUGUUGAGCGCCAUGAUGAAGCAGGUACAAGAUCUAUGUGGGUGGGAAUGGAGCAAGGUUGCUAGAGAGCACUACACCUGAACAGAGUCUUGGACAUGAUGAGUUAUAGUAGAAAGGGAAGGAAAGAGGGAUGGGAGACGGAGAAGGGCAGAGGGAUCAGCAUGUGGAGCCAGGUGAUGAGAGGCCAUUCCAGGAUGCCAACAAGGCAGGGGCAAGGAUAGAUUCAUUCAUGUCUUAGAAAUAUCACCCUGGCUGCAGGAUGAAGCAGACUUAAGAAGGCAAAUUGGAGUCAGGGAGACCACCAAGGAGCUGUCAGAGUCACGUAAGCAAGAGAUGAUGGUGUUUUGGGCCAGGGUUGGAGCUGUGGGGAUGGAAGGAUAUGGAAGGUUUUAGUGAUACUAGAGAUAAGCUUGCCAGGGUUUGGUGAUCCAUCAGAUGUGGGAAAUGAAAUAGAGAAAAGCAGCAUCCUGGAGGUGGAGGCUCAGUAGACGGUGAUGCUAUUUACUGAAGUGAGAUUAGGAGAGGAACGAGGACGCCCAUCCUUUGGACCUGGCAGUUCCAGCUCAGGAAUAGAAGCAAUAGCAGUGAAAAGACUCUCUGUGACCCUGGCCUCGGCAGGACCUAGAGCUCAUGUUCCUUUCAUCUCCAGACUUGGCCUGUGAGCACAUAUGUGUAGAACCUCCCCACUUGCAAUGGAGCCAAGGGUGUCAUGAUGGCCCACGCUGCUGCCGUGUUACACUAUGUACUGUGCCUCCUGCUGGAACUGCUCUUACUUCUCACUUACUUAAAACCUGUUCAAACAUCGCCAGCUCUUACAGGAUAGGUCUCUCCACCCUUCUCCGAUCCCUACCACCUUGAUGGUUCUCCUAAUAAACUGCUUACUGCAGAGUAUCUUAAUUAUUUC
rnacentral:lncRNA from 1 species